UAAGACGAACCGUACGAACGUUAUUCGGAAUCACUGGGCUUAAAGGGUGCGUAGGCGGCGCGGUAAGUUGGGUGUGAAAUCCCUCGGCUCAACCGAGGAACUGCGCCCAAAACUACCGUGCUCGAGGGAGAUAGAGGUGAGCGGAACUUAGGGUGGAGCGGUGAAAUGCGUUGAUAUCCUAAGGAACACCGGUGGCGAAAGCGGCUCACUGGAUCUCUUCUGACGCUGAGGCACGAAAGCUAGGGUAGCGAACGGGAUUAGAUACCCCGGUAGUCCUAGCCGUAAACGAUGAGCACUGGAUUGGAGGGUCCUCCAUAGCCUUCCAGUCGCAGCGAAAGUGUUAAGUGCUCCGCCUGGGGAGUAUGGUCGCAAGGCUG
rnacentral:rRNA from 1 species